CGGCUGGACUUUGUGGAAAAAUAAUUUUUAACCAAAAAUGCGAGCACAAGUAAUUAUGUUUUUAUGGCCCAUAAAAGUACUGCCAUAUCAAGUUAACGUUGUUGCAAUUAUCAUUUAAAAUGAUGUGAUUUUGUAAUAAACUUACCAAAUACUGAUGAAAAUACGCAUAAUGUUCUAAUCGGCUUGUAUGUGGAUCUCUCUGCUGUUGUUUGUAGCCGGCCGUUCCGCACACCGUUUAACUUCCCCACAGAAACACGCUCACCGGCGGAAGGUUCCUUACAAUUUAAUGGUUCCUACGCAAUUACAUUGAACGGCGUUCUUAGCUUGCUAGAUGUAUAGUAAAGCAAAGAAGACGCGGGUCUUAAUAUGAUUUUUCUACUAACUGUUACUCAUAUAUUUUUAAUAGUCGUUGAAAUAGCGUGCUUGUGGUUAAAAAUACGCCACAGUUAUCCAAAUAUAUGUAGAGGAAGACCGAAACUGUCCUUACGAAAAUAUACAAUGUUUUAACUAGAUUGCAUUUUGAAAUACAUGGUGUAGAUUCGUACUAUUCAAUUAAUCUAAUAAGGGUAAAUCUAUUCAUCGAUUAAUUUUCAUUACAUUAAUCUUAUAAGGCACUUGGAGCAAUGGUUUUAGGCCUGCUCUGGUUAACAGUAGGCUACUACAGAUACCACAGUUAUUACGCAAGAACGUCAGAUGUCCUGCACCACAAGGUGGCGAUGUGUCAUAGAGAAUGCAACACAAAAUUCACAAGCGUCUGCUUUUCAUCUCAGGUAAAGAUUAUUUGAGAAUAAGAAUGUACAAGAACACCAUGUGAUGUCAGUCAAGGAUUUAUGUGUCUCUUGAAAAAAAAAAAGAUAUAUAAAUUUAUUAUGCUUUUCUCAUAAAUUAUGUACUAAGUACAUUUUAUGUACACUUGGCCUGCGUGCAGUCUUUUUGGUUUUCUGCUUCCAUGCACCUUGUUUGGGAGAGAAGGUGCAGUGGAAUAAUAAUUCAGGUUACAGCAGCAGCCAGAAGCCCUUCAGUGAGGCAGAAGAAGUCAUCCUGACUGGCUGUUUGAUCCAGGCAGAACACCUGUGGUACAGAUUAAGUCAGUCUCAGGUAAAAAAAAAAACCUUACAUAAAUCCUCACUUAUAAAUAUACAAAAAAUAUUUGGC
ensembl:lncRNA